GAGUUUGAUCCUGGCUCAGGAUGACGCUAGCGGCAGGCUACACAUGCAAGUCGAGGGGUACAGGUAGCUGCUAUGCUGACGACCGGCGCACGGGUGAGUAACGCGUAUACAAUCUGCCUUGUACUGAGGGAUAGCCCAGAGAAAUUUGGAUUAAUACCUCAUAGUAUAUAGGCCUCACCUGAGGAUUAUAUUAAAGGUUACGGUACAAGAUGAGUAUGCGUUCUAUUAGCUAGAUGGUAAGGUAACGGCUUACCAUGGCAACGAUAGAUAGGGGCCCUGAGAGGGGGAUCCCCCACACUGGUACUGAGACACGGACCAGACUCCUACGGGAGGCAGCAGUGAGGAAUAUUGGACAAUGGGCGAGAGCCUGAUCCAGCCAUGCCGCGUGCAGGAUGACUGCCCUAUGGGUUGUAAACUGCUUUUAUACAGGAAGAAACAUCUCUACGUGUAGAGACUUGACGGUACUGUAAGAAUAAGGAUCGGCUAACUCCGUGCCAGCAGCCGCGGUAAUACGGAGGAUCCAAGCGUUAUCCGGAAUCAUUGGGUUUAAAGGGUCCGUAGGUGGAUAAUUAAGUCAGAGGUGAAAUCCUGCAGCUCAACUGUAGAAUUGCCUUUGAUACUGGUUAUCUUGAGUUAUUAUGAAGUAGUUAGAAUAUGUGGUGUAGCGGUGAAAUGCAUAGAUAUCACAUAGAAUACCAAUUGCGAAGGCAGAUUACUAAUAAUAUACUGACACUGAUGGACGAAAGCGUGGGGAGCGAACAGGAUUAGAUACCCUGGUAGUCCACGCCGUAAACGAUGGUUACUAGUUGUUCGGACUUCGGUUUGAGUGACUAAGCGAAAGUGAUAAGUAACCCACCUGGGGAGUACGUUCGCAAGAAUGAAACUCAAAGGAAUUGACGG
rnacentral:rRNA from 1 species